rnacentral:rRNA from 1 species
UGCAGUCGACGAUGAGCUCCAGCUUGCUGGGGGGAUUAGUGGCGAACGGGUGAGUAACACGUGAGUAACCUGCCCUUGACUCUGGGAUAAGCGCUGGAAACGGCGUCUAAUACCGGAUACGAGCUUCAGCCGCAUGGCUAGGAGUUGGAAAGAAUUUUGGUCAAGGAUGGACUCGCGGCCUAUCAGCUAGUUGGUGAGGUAAUGGCUCACCAAGGCGACGACGGGUAGCCGGCCUGAGAGGGUGACCGGCCACACUGGGACUGAGACACGGCCCAGACUCCUACGGGAGGCAGCAGUGGGGAAUAUUGCACAAUGGGCGCAAGCCUGAUGCAGCAACGCCGCGUGAGGGACGACGGCCUUCGGGUUGUAAACCUCUUUUAGUAGGGAAGAAGCGAAAGUGACGGUACCUGCAGAAAAAGCACCGGCUAACUACGUGCCAGCAGCCGCGGUAAUACGUAGGGUGCAAGCGUUGUCCGGAAUUAUUGGGCGUAAAGAGCUCGUAGGCGGUUUGUCGCGUCUGCUGUGAAAUCUGGGGGCUCAACCCCCAGCCUGCAGUGGGUACGGGCAGACUAGAGUGCGGUAGGGGAGAUUGGAAUUCCUGGUGUAGCGGUGGAAUGCGCAGAUAUCAGGAGGAACACCGAUGGCGAAGGCAGAUCUCUGGGCCGUAACUGACGCUGAGGAGCGAAAGCGUGGGGAGCGAACAGGAUUAGAUACCCUGGUAGUCCACGCCGUAAACGUUGGGAACUAGAUGUGGGGACCAUUCCACGGUCUCCGUGUCGCAGCUAACGCAUUAAGUUCCCCGCCUGGGGAGUACGGCCGCAAGGCUAAAACUCAAAGGAAUUGACGGGGGGCCCGCACAAGCGGCGGAGCAUGCGGAUUAAUUCGAUGCAACGCGAGAACCUUACCAAGGCUUGACAUAUACCGGAAACGGCCAGAGAUGGCCGCCCGCAAGGUCGGUAUA